rnacentral:rRNA from 1 species
UUUAUGGAGAGUUUGAUCCUGGCUCAGGAUGAACGCUGGCGGCGUGCCUAAUACAUGCAAGUCGAGCGAACGGACGAGAAGCUUGCUUCUCUGAUGUUAGCGGCGGACGGGUGAGUAACACGUGGAUAACCUACCUAUAAGACUGGGAUAACUUCGGGAAACCGGAGCUAAUACCGGAUAAUAUUUUGAACCGCAUGGUUCAAAAGUGAAAGACGGUCUUGCUGUCACUUAUAGAUGGAUCCGCGCUGCAUUAGCUAGUUGGUAAGGUAACGGCUUACCAAGGCAACGAUGCAUAGCCGAC